rnacentral:misc_RNA from 1 species
UUCCGACCAUCAAUUAUUCCCAACAGCAAACAAAUUCCCACAGCACCACUAUCAAAAACCUCCACAUCUGUACAGCCCCACAAAAAAAUAAAAUGAACUACUCACAGAAGGGAAACCCCAAUAAUUACCUACACCAGACAACCAACGCAACACAUCCCAAUCUGCCAACUGUCACCACCACCAAGCCAGCUAUCCCUCCAUCAGCUGUCGGCGAAAAUCUCCCGAUCUCGCCGUCGCCGGAGCAGAUCAUACGGCGCCCACAGCGCAUCCAGCGGGCAAGCCCGCCCCGCAUCCAGCCGCAGCCACGGCUUUCCCUUGCCACUCCAAUGCAGCAAGCUCACCGGGCCCGGGUGCAGAUCCCUGCACAGCCCCUCUACAUUAUCCCCGCCAAGCCCGUGCUGGUUCCACCGGUGCUCCACACCUUUCACCUCACCAGCAAAAACCAGCAGAAACGGCGGUAGCGAGCCCAGCUCGUAAAUCCGCGCCUCCCACUUCUGCACACUCAUCCAGUAAUCGAGCUGGCGGGUGUACCCGCCGGCACGCCAUUUAGUCAGAUCCAUCACCAUAACACCGGUGUUGAAAUAACAGGAUUCUCUAGAUCUAGAAUCGAAAACUCGCGGAUACUCCGGAUCGGACCAGAAUCUUGAGGUGAAAUAGGAGGUAAAAUUGGCGUGGCAGUACUCCGGCGCGCCGAGGACGUGGGGACCGAGAUCGAUCUCCCAGAGCUUAGCGACAUCGUCGACGACGACGAGGUCAGAGUCGAAGUAAAUGACGCGGCGGACGGCCGGGGGGAGGAGGUCGGCGAGGUAGAUGCGGGCGUAGUUGAGGGGCUGGUCGAGGGCGCGGCGGACGGAGGAGGAGAUCUUGUUGCGGACGAGCGCGGCGUCGAAGCGGUAGGUGUGGAAGGGGAGGGAGGGGAAGGAGGCGGCGACGGCGCGGCGGAGGCGGCGAGGGGCGGUGGCGAGGAAGUGGAAGUGGAUGGAUUCCGGGCAGGCGGCGUGCUGGAGGACGGAGAGGACGCCGGCGAGGGAGCCGCGGAGGUAGGUGGCGUCGAGAGUCAUGGCGAUGUGGAUGGAGGGGGAGGAUGGGCAGUGGAGGGCGUUGCGGAAGGCGGGAGCCUCGCGGAACGGCGGGAGGGGAGGCGGCGGCGCCGCCGUGGCGGCGAGGAGGAGGAUGGGGAGGAGGAGGAGGCCGCCGGGGGGCGGCAUUGGUG